rnacentral:rRNA from 1 species
AACGAACGCUGGCGGCGUGCCUAACACAUGCAAGUCGAACGAGAAAGGGGCUUCGGCCCUGAGUAAAGUGGCGCACGGGUGAGUAACACGUAGGUAACCUGCCUCUGAGAUUGGGAUAACUUGUCGAAAGACGGGCUAAUACCGAAUAAGACCACAGCUUCUUUGGGAGCAGAGGUCAAAGAUAGCCUCUACUUGUAAGCUAUCACUUAGAGAUGGGCCUGCGCACCAUUAGCUAGUUGGUAGGGUAACGGCCUACCAAGGCAAAGAUGGUUAGCUGGUCUGAGAGGAUGAUCAGCCACACUGGAACUGAGACACGGUCCAGACUCCUACGGGAGGCAGCAGUGGGGAAUAUUGCGCAAUGGGCGAAAGCCUGACGCAGCAACGCCGCGUGAGUGAUGAAGGCCUUCGGGUCGUAAAGCUCUGUCGGAGGGAACGAACGUUCCUGGAGUUAACAGCUCCGGGAAGUGACGGUACCCUCAAAGGAAGCACCGGCUAACUCUGUGC